GUACGAACGCUGGCGGCGUGCUUAACACAUGCAAGUCGAGCGGUAAGGCCCUUUCGGGGGUACACGAGCGGCGAACGGGUGAGUAACACGUGGGUGACCUGCCCUCAGCUCUGGGAUAAGCCUGGGAAACCGGGUCUAAUACUGGAUAUGACUCCAUGACGCAUGUUGUGGGGUGGAAAGCCUUGUGCGGCUGAGGAUGGGCCCGCGGCCUAUCCAGCUUGUUGGUGGGGUGUANGGCCUACCAAGGCGACGACGGGUAGCCGGCCUGAGAGGGCGUACCGGCCACACUGGGACUGGAGACACGGCCCAGACUCCGUACGGGAGGC
rnacentral:rRNA from 1 species